AGCCUAAAGCCCAAGACGCCCCCUCUUUUCUUCCCUCUUCCAAUCCCCUUAUUCCUAGGAUUUCUAAGCAGCCCAGCUGAAAGGUAGUUGGGGGCCAUUUUACAGAUGGGUAGACUUAGGGUGGGAAAGAAGAGUCUUGUCCGAGGCUUAGGAGAGUUGGGGGUAUUAGAACUUUGCUGAGUACUGCGCAGGACUAUAAAAGUUUGCCUUAGUAAGACCGGUUGGGGAUUUUAUUCCUCCAACAGCACCCAGGAUGCUCUCUGGCACCACCUGGGCAUCUGGGCUGUCCCACCCCACCCCCCAGGUAGUGAUACGACCUGGGUAUUAUGCUCUGACACUGACUUGCUGUGUUACCUUAGGCAAUUUCUUUCCCCCCCCCCCCCCCCCACUAUGUCUUCAUCUUUAUCUGUCAAAGGAAAUGGGAUCCUAUUUCUAGCCAUCCUUCCGACCUGGAAGGGCCAGGUGCCGCAUGACCUUGACCCAGACCCUGCCAUGGUUACUAGGAGGCAUUUUGAGGGGAGUGUGGAUUCUAGAAUUCCUCAAGCACAGAUGUUCUAAGGCCAGGAUUUAGGAUUCUCUCUAGGAUCCUAUGCCUUCCCGUUACGCUUUGCGGAAGGGAGUCAAAAGAGAGCACUUGUGUUCAUGCCACAGCCUUGCUCCUUCUAGAUGGGGAUGCUUCAGCAAGGUGAACUUCAGCCUCUAGGACUGCUCCUCGCACAGAAGACAGGAGUCCUGUUCCUGUGUUGGGCGGGAAAUGGGGCUGUGCUAUCCCCAGCUGGGUAGUGAGGCCCCACUGACAUUCCUCUCUCAGAGUAUAAACCAAGUGCUUUUUCAGCCAUUCUGUCUCAUUCUGUCCCAGGCUCAUGGGGAUUUGAACCUGGCUUUUCUUCAUUUGGUGGUUGUGAACUCACCUUUCCGAGCAUCAUCUGUAAAAGGGGCAACAACACCUAUUCCACAGGGCUGCCGGUAAGAAUUAAAAACUUGAGUUGGAAAGGCAGACACCUGUUCUUGAGAACUGACCUAUGAAGUUGCCUCCUCCAGAAAGCCUUCCCUGACUGCUAUCUAGUAGGCUUCUCCCUUUGGGAUCUCACAGGCCUGAGCUCUCAGCAUUGCAAGUGUUUCUGCUGCCUGUUUCUACUCUUGUUGCCUCCACUAGACUCUGGAUCCUUCAAGGGCAGUGCGUUUUUCGGAUUCAUUCCUGAAUGCCUAGCAAGGGGUCCAAAUGGAGUUGGAUUACAGUCAGUGUUCCUUCCUGUCUUCUUCCCUCCCUCCAUCUUUUUUACCGUAUGAGGCUGUCUUCUCCCCAAAGGGCUAUGGCGAUGGGUAGAUAGGUCCUCAGGGCAGAGGCCCCCAGCUCUCUUACCCUGAGCCAGCUAGGUUCCGGGGCAGCAGAGAGAGCAUUCUGGAGCCUGAAGGAAAAGCAGUCACCCAGGGCUGGCAGGUGAAGGGCAGCUGGUGGUGUCCAGCUGGCAGGGGGCACCAUAUGGGCCUAGCGAGCAGGCGGGCCUGGGAACGCUGAGACUGCAGUGAAGGCUGUUUCCAGGGCCAUCGCAUCGUCCCGGAGGUGGCUUGCUGGGAGCUGUCAGCCAUGAAUCCCCCGCAGAGGGGCAGCCGGCUCGUGCCCCUUCUGCCAAUCCAGGAACAGAAGCAGAAACAGAAGGUCAGAGCGGCAAGGGGCCUCCUCUGAGGUCACCGUGUCCAAACCCUUAUUUCGCAGCAGAGCACAGUAGUUAAACACAUGGAUACUGGCGCCCGGGAUCCUGUCUCCCCUGCUUCUUUACUCCGUGACCUUAGCAGCGGGGUAUGUCUCAAGCCUGGGGGCUGGAAAUCAUCAUUCACCCCAGGGUUCCCUGGAGCAGCUGACCAGUGCCUGGCACCGAGGCGGUGGCCAGUACGCAUCUAAGGACUCGACUUAAGGGGAGGUCUUUGCCUAUGGAGCCGCUGAGCUAAUUAAGAAUGACAAAGCACUGUGUAAUUGCCAGCAAUUGAAACCGUCAUCAUUCGUUUCUGCUGGGAGCACCCCUGGCCGUUCCGUCAUUCCACCAAGCGUGUGAUGGGACAGAGCCCGUCGUGUGGGAGGCCCGGACUCCGCUCGCCCUUUCUCCUGGAGAAGAUUCUGGUUAUAACUGCUCAGCCAGCCUCUCCCCUUCCUGGCUCUCUUACUUACGGCUGGAUCCCAGCGCCCUGGCUGUUCUCAAUCUGAGGGCCGGUCUUUGCGUUCGAAGGGAGGUUAGCAAAGGUCAGAAAGGUCGGAAAGACAGACAGCAUCCACUGAGACUUUCACGUCAGAAAUGGAACCCUUUUCACCCUCUCCUGCUGUCUCCUCCUUGUCCUCAUGCACCUGUCUGGUGUGAGGACCUCAGAGAGGCCCCGAGAGUCUCCCAGCCGUUGCCCAGCCCCGCCUCCUGCCCGCGGACGCACCACCACCAUAGGAGGGACGCCGGGUGUACCGUGGGGCACCUGGGUUUUGGGUCCAGCUCCGCCACCAUCUCACGUGAAACUACCCUUCCUGGCCCCCUUGCAGUCAGGAGAGGCAGACCUGGCCAUCGAAGUGGGUAGAAGUGACCUGUGUAAAACUUGGGGGAAUCUGUGCUCGCUCUCUCUCUCUCUCUCCCCGUCCUGGGGUGAACUUGGACAUGAGGCGUCCGCGAUGGAAGGAAGGUGCGUUCCAGGGGGAGCAGAACCGCCCCCACUCCACCACCACAGGCAGCAAUAAACUUAGGUUGUGUUUGUUGAAUGACUGCGGUUACGGGGUCACGUUCGUCGUAGCAGCUGGCGGUGCUUCCCCUAAUGCAGCCUGGAGGAAGCGGCACCAGAGCAGCCUCUGAAAAGGCGAGUAAGGUUUGGCGACGUAGACAGGCGGGAAGGGACGUUCCAGAGGGAAGGGACGGGGGCAGCAAAGGGGUGGGAGCCGGAACAGGACGAUGUGUUUGCACCCUGGAGAGAAAGUCAGCGUGAUCGGUACUGAGGGCUGCCCUGGGCUCCAACCAGGGGUGUGCUGAAUCCAGCCCAUCCCGGCUCCGGGCAGCCGAUGGUUAGCAUCGUUUCCCAACUCGGGGCUCAGUGACAGCCAUCACUGCGGUGGCAUGAAAUCGGCCAUGGUGGGAGUAUUUACGCCAUGGCAACCGGCAGACACUCUAAGCCAGGGCUCUUUCCUCCUAUUAUCCAGUUAUCAGCAUGCUACUGCUUACAGCUCACAAGCAAGUGGACCCUGCCCAUCGGAGAGGCCGUGCAAGGACCAAAGACCCUGCCCCCUCUGAGCCCUUUAAGCCUCACGUUCCUCAUCCGCAGAAUGGGGCGCAUCACCCUGCCUCCUCUGCCAGGCUGACCGCGGGCAACAGGAAAUGAGACCGUGCACGUGGAGCCCCGCCUGCGUCCCCUCAGGAUCGUCGUUCCCGUGCACAGGACAGCCUCUGAGGGCUUUCGCUGGCCGGAGGGGCUGCUCACCCACACGGGCAGGCUGGGGGAGUGCUGGGACCUUGAUGUCUGUGGGAGCAGACCUCGGCCAAGGGCGGGUGGGAGCUGAGGGGGUGGGGGUGGGGAAAUAGCCCAGCCUUCUCCCCUCCUUCCUGGGACAGACGUGAGGCCCAUUCCACCCCAUCUCCUGGAAGUCUCCAGAGGGGCGGAGGAGCCUCGGCUGUCCCCGCUGCGGCUCGUUCACCAGCGCGUCCUGACUCUGGGAUUCUUCCUUCCCUGCCUCAGUUUCCCCCUUUCCCUACCGGCGCGUCCCGGGAUUGUUGCAGGAUGCUUUUUUAACCUCAAUGCCCAGGAUUCGUUGUCUCGCCGCAAAGAAUGAAGGGGGUGGGGGGGGCACCGAAUAAAACGAGCAGCCGGCGAAAGUUUAUUAGAGUCAGAAAGCAAGAAUAGUAGGAAAGCUCUCUUUCCAGAGAAGGGAGUGAAUGCCGGCGACUACAGGCAAGGGUCCUUGUUUUGUAAGGUUUUGGUCGCCCCCCCUUCCGCCCCCACUCAUUUCUUCUCUGGUUUUACCCUUAUCGGCGUGAUAACUCUAAAUGCCUAGUCAUUCCUUUUUGAUUGGCUGGUUUCCAUCGUAUGAGGGGUGGUCUAGGGCCACACCGUUCCUUGUGGGUCAUACAUUUUAUGGUCGACUGCUUAUUUUUAGUCAGGUCCUUGGUCAAAUUCCUGAGGGGAACCUGAGGGGGAGCAGGCGGUGUCUGUAACAUUCUUAAGAGGAACCUUAUGCCCCCGGGAGACUGCUGUGGUCAGACGCUCCCAGCCUUGUUUCAAAAUAUGUGUUUUUCCCCACCCAGGGAUCUCACGUCCUAACCUUUCCCUCUCUGCCUGUUUUACCCUCUUUCCCUAUCAUAGGAUCACUGCCCAAAGGAACUUCUCUCAUCCUUAUGAGGAUCGGCUUCUGGGGGAACCCAACCAAGAUGAGCAGUGACCAGGAUCACCUCUAGAGACAGAGAGAGAGGGAGAGAGAAUCCCAAGCAGGCUCUGGCCGUCCGUGCAGAGCCCGACGUGGGGCCCAAUCUCAUGAACCGUGAGAUCAUGACCUGAGCCGAGAUCAAGAGUCGGACGCUUAACCGACUGAGCCACCCAGACGCCCAUUCAUGGAUUAUCUUAAUCACGGUCACGCCGAGGGAGAGGGACUAUUGUUCAGCCUCCUCUUACAGCUCCACUGGCCACGGCGGUCGAUCGGAACUUUCUACGGGCUGCAUUCUGAACACGCACAACGUUGCCAGUAACGGAUUCCUACGUGUAGUCACUUCUGUCUGUUGGCAAAAUCCUGAAAACAUGGAGCUCAUGGGAGACGAGGAUCUUCAAGGGGCUGGGGCGGUGGGAAGGCCAGGACCCCACUGCCCUGGGCUCUGGCUACUGGAACGAUUGACGUGUGGGCUUCUUGUUCUCCAGCCCCGCAGCACCUUGGUUUCUCUUCUGUAACCACGUGUGUGUGUGUGUGUGUGUGUGUGUGUGUGUGUGUGCGCGCGCGCGCACGCGUGCUGGGGGCAUAAGCUCUGUCUCCCAUGUGGAGCUGAGGGCCCAGCACCUCCUUCCCCGGGCUCCUCUCUGUCCUAGGGAUCAGCCAAGGGGAGGGCCUAGGACCCAGGUUUGGACUCUUCCUCUGUAUUGGUCGGCUUUUGUGCUAGUAACAAAGAGCCCCCAGAUCUCAGGGGUUUUUUGUUUUUCUUUUUGGCUCGUGGGCAUGAGGGUUGACUUUGACCCCGCUCAGCUCUCAGCCAGGCAUGAGAAAUACUGUUGUCCUGGCAGACAGAAGCAAGAGGCUAACCUGAACCACUCAGGUGCAUUUAAAAUCUCUGCUCAUGGCACAAAAACAGACACAUAGACCAAUGGAAUAGAAUAGAAACCCCAGAACUAGACCCACAAACGUAUGGCCAACUCAUCUUUGACAAAGC